ensembl:lncRNA
AUUUAAGGCCAAUUGUUAUUGUGUGUAUUUAUUGUAUUGAGCUACUGGAUGGCUUUAUUGGUCCCCAUUGGGACCAAUAAAGUAGCUAUCUAUCUAUCCAUCUAUAUAGCCUUAACAUAGCCACACAUUUACAUGUAUGCAGCCAGUAGUUAUCAAUUUUAAUUGAACACAAGCAACUUCACAUUUUAUUGAGUUUUUUUUAUUUCAACCGAACAAUUGUCGGCAGACAGGGUGGCUGUGUCACGCCAAAUUUGUACCGGGUGCCAAAUUUGUACCGGGCACGUCAUCCAUACGUAAUCCAUUCCAAACCUGCCUGGCAACAGAUGAUCGUGUCGUCCGUUGAUCGCGUCGAAUGACGUGAAAGGUUCACGAACAUUCGCGAACCUUCAAGCUCGUUCAUUCGCACUUGUUCAUUGACCGUGACAAGACCGAUAACAUUGACCGUGACAAGACAGAUAACACUUACACUUACAAAUUACAUUUAUUAGCGUUGCUAACUUUAUAUUUGUAUUGUAUUCAAUUGUUUAAUCGUAUUUUGCUAGUAAACUUUCUUGUUGAUUGAAAAUGGUGUCAUUUAAUUGUAUUUUCUUGUAUCUGUCGUCUCAGAUGUAUGAAGCAGGUCGCUCUCUCACAGAGAAACGGCAGAUCCGGAGGGAUGCAAAAAAAUUAAAGGUAUUCUGUAAUUAAAUAAAUAACAUUUUAUGCAGUCCAUCUUAAUUCAUCUGCCAUUUUCACAAAUUAGUAGGCCCUGCAAAGGAAACUGGAUUAAGUUAUAAGCAAUCUACAGCUGAUGCAGAGCUGCUGAUGUAUGUUCUCUCCCUCUUUCUAGGGAAUUGUAUGUACUACCUGGGGGAGAAUGGCCUUUCAAUGAGGAGGGUGAUCCUCACUGAGAAGGAGAAGGAUGAGGUGCUGACAGAAGUCCAUGCUGGCCACUUUGGAGUCAAGAGGAUGCUGGACAAGAUCAACCAACGCUUCUACUGGAAGGGAAUUACCAGAGAUGUUCAGGAAUGGGUGAAAACCUGUAUGUCAUGCCAGAGGUUUGAGCAAGUGAAAACAGAGGCACCAGAGUUGAAGCCCAUCAAACCGAAGUCACCAUGGCAUAUGAUUGGUGAGAUAUCUUGCUUUUGGGUUCUGUGAAAUGGCUACAACCUCUCAAAGUCAUAGUUUAAUUUGUAUUGCCAUUUCUACCUCUCUAACGUCAUGGCCUGUGGGUAUGUGUUUAUUUCUGUCCCUACUCUAGGUGUUGACCUAAUUGGACCAUUCAAAGCCUCAAAGAAUGGGAACCACUUCUGUCUGACAGCAACUGACUUCUUCACCAAGUGGGUGGAGGCCAGGCCCAUCAAGGACAAGACUGCAACUGCCACAUCACAGGCUUGUAAAUCAUAGCAACAUUUGCAGCGUAGCCACAUAUUGUGAAUGCAGAAUGUUGUUACAACUGACAGAAAAGUUUGGCGGGGGGAUGGAGAAUGAUUUCAGCUUCUUUUGAUGUUCCACAGGCUAUGAUGGACAUUUUCUACACCCAUGGGGCUCCUGAGGUCAUCUUGACAGACCAGGGUCGUGAAUUCUGGAACAAGGUGGAGUAUU